rnacentral:rRNA from 1 species
GUGAGGAAUAUUGGUCAAUGGGCGGGAGCCUGAACCAGCCAAGUCGCGUGAAGGAAGAAGGAUCUAUGGUUCGUAAACUUCUUUUGCAGGGGAAUAAAGUGCGGGACGUGUCCUGUUUUGUAUGUACCCUGAGAAUAAGGAUCGGCUAACUCCGUGCCAGCAGCCGCGGUACUACGGAGGAUCCGAGCGUUAUCCGGAUUUAUUGGGUUUAAAGGGUGCGUAGGUGGUUUGAUAAGUCAGCGGUGAAAGUUUGCAGCUUAACUGUAAAAAUGCCGUUGAAACUGUCGGACUUGAGUGUAAAUGAGGUAGGCGGAAUGCGUGGUGUAGCGGUGAAAUGCAUAGAUAUCACGCAGAACUCCGAUUGCGAAGGCAGCUUACUAAGCUACAACUGACACUGAAGCACGAAAGCGUGGGGAUCAAACAGGAUUAGAUACCCCAGUAGUCC